AAUGCUCUUGCCAAGGGCGAUCUAGGUCGUUGAUUGCAAACGCAAAUCCAACGGCUGCAAAUGAACCGCGUGGCUUUCAUCGGAUGGAUUGAAGCACACCACGUGUUUCAAUCCUGCGAACCCGAGGCUUUUCAUAUUUAAACCAAUUUUUUUCGUUUUUCCAUUUUUCCUUUCCCCCUCGUGUGAAUGCUCUCCCUUCUCCUGUCUCUUCCCCUUCUUCUCUUCUCUGUAACUCAGUGACAGAAACCCUAGGGUUUCUUGCUUCCUCGUUCUCUACUCUGAUCUGCUUCAAUGGCGCUUCACAAAACCUGACACAGAAGCUCGAAAAUGGCGACUAGUAUUGGCAUGAUGGAUUCAGCAUAUUUCGUUGGCAGAUCAGAGAUCUUGGCAUGGAUCAACUCCACCCUGCACUUCAAUCCCUCCAAAGUGGAAAAGGCAUGCUUGGGUGCGGUUCAGUGUCAGCUGAGGGACGCGGCACAUCUAGGCAUCGUGCCGAUACACUAGGUGAACUUUGACGCCAAGAACGAGUAUGAAAUGAUCUAGAGCUACGAGUCCUUCAGGACAUCUUCAACAAACUCAAGAUUGCCAAGCAUAUUGAGGUGAGCAAGCUCAUGAGAAAAAUACAAUUUUCUCUGCUCUUUCGCGGACUGGACCAUCCCCGAAAUAUCCUUCUCCACAAACUCUCUCUGAAAUAGAUCCGACUCCUUCACCGCAAAAGUUGAGAGCACUCUCAAGAGAGCAUCAACCUACAGAUAAGUGAAGGUCCAUGUGGCAACCCAGGACUCGCGGGCUUUUGGGAUGCUUCCAGGUAGCAUAUGGGGAAUGGAGUGCAGGGCAUUUACUUUUUAUUUUAUUUUUUUUGCAAUUUCUUUUUGCUAUUAACUAAUUUUAUAUUGGAGGAUUGACAUUUUAGUUUUUUUUUAUUGUCCUUUUUAUUUAUUGUAAUUUCUGCGUGUACCCCUCCCCCCCCCCCCGCCCCCAAAAAAAGUUGUUGAUGGUGCAACUAUUAUUACUCUUUUGUAUGUAUUUAUUUUCACCUUCCUGUAUUUUAAUACUUUAUUUUAUCUUC